rnacentral:misc_RNA from 1 species
GAUGAAGAACGUAGCGAAAUGCGAUAAGUAAUGCGAAUUGCAGAAUUCAGUGAAUCAUCGAAUCUUUGAACGCACAUUGCGCCCGCUAGUAUUCUGGCGGGCAUGCCUGUCUGAGCGUCAUUUCAACCCUCGCCCCCGGCUUUUGCUGGGAGCGGUGUUGGGGAUCGGCCGCCCGUCACUGGGAGGCCGGCCCCGAAAUAGAGUGGCGACCACGCCGUGUGCUCCUCUGCGUAGUAGUAAAUCACCUCGCAGGCGGACAGCGGUGCGGCCUGCCGUAAAACCCCCAACUCUUUCUGGUUGACCUCAGAUCAGGUAGGAAUACCCGCUGAAAUUAAGCUUAUAAAUAAGCGGAGGA